rnacentral:lncRNA from 1 species
CCUUCUCCCGCCCUCCCGCCCGCCCUCUCUCCCUCCCUCCUUCCCUCAGCCUACGAGGCAGCAAUUACGCUUUGGGGAUAAAACGAGGCGCGGAGAGCGGGCUGGGGCAUUUCUCCCCGAGAUGGCGGGUCUGACAGCUACAGCCCUGCGGCCCGGAGUCCUCCUGCUCCUGCUGUCCAUCGUCCACCCCUCGCAGCCUGGAGGGGUCCCAGGGGCCGUUCCUGGUGGAGUCCCAGGAGGAGUCUUUUUCCCAGGUAACAUACAUGAAACUGCCACCCCGUAAGCGGAUUGGGAUCACAGCCCUAAGAGAGGCCCAUUUUGACCCUGCAGAAGUGAAGGACAUUGGCCACCUACCCCAGAGAACCCACAAGUUGCUUCUACUUAAAAAAGCAGUUUCUGUGACUCUGUUUUACGACUAUUAAGAGCAUAAAUUUUCUGAAAGAGGAAACACAACGAGACUGUAGGAAAGUGGGUGCCUUCACGCAUCCCUGCCUUUCACAGUCUUCAAAUCGUUAACCCCACUCUUGGGAAUCUAUUCAAAGGAAAUCAUUGGAAAGUGAAAAAAAGAACAGUAUGUAACAAGGUUCUUAGGAGUAUUAUCUGAAAAAAUGUAAAACAAGAAACACACCUGAUUGGAGGGUGUGAUUAAGCACACUCUAAAAUCAUACACAGCUCCUAAAAAGUAUGAACACGCUACCUGUUGUGCAACACGGUGAAAUGUUUUUUCAAGUAAAAAUGAUAUAAAAGCAACGACUGUGUGCAGUUGGAGACUGGGAGCCCCAAAAAGAAAAUGGGCAGGAUGUUGGAACGAUGGAGCAAUGACAUUGGGGUCGGGGGGGGGAGCCAUACUUUCUUUUAAUUUAGAAAAAAGUAGAAUGCUUUAAAGUUGAUUGAAAAUCAAGAGUAAUGUUUUCAACACUUAAAAAGUAUUUGAGUGUUCAGAAGUGAUGCGGAAGUGAGGGCAGCUACCAACAUCCUUCCAGGAACAAACU